GAUGAACGCUGGCGGCGUGCCUAAUACAUGCAAGUCGAGCGAACAGACGAGGAGCUUGCUCCUCUGACGUUAGCGGCGGACGGGUGAGUAACACGUGGAUAACCUACCUAUAAGACUGGGAUAACUUCGGGAAACCGGAGCUAAUACCGGAUAAUAUAUUGAACCGCAUGGUUCAAUAGUGAAAGACGGUUUUGCUGUCACUUAUAGAUGGAUCCGUGCCGUAUUAGCUAGUUGGUAAGGUAACGGCUUACCAAGGCAACGAUGCGUAGCCGACCUGAGAGGGUGAUCGGCCACACUGGAUCUGACACACGGUCCAGACUCCUACGGGAGGCAGCAGUAGGGACUCUUCCGCAAUGGGCGAAAGCCUGACGGAGCAACGCCGCGUGAGUGAUGAAGGUCUUCGGAUCGUAAAACUCUGUUAUGAGGGAAGAACAAAUGUGUAAGUAACUAUGCACGUCUUGACGGUACCUAAUCAGAAAGCCACGGCUAACUACGU
rnacentral:rRNA from 1 species